AAGAUGGCUUUAUUUAAGCAAGGAUUUCUCUUUAUUGCUCUCUUUGUUGCAAUUUCAGUUAAUCUCUAUUGGAGUCCGAAUAAAAUGCAAGCGAUGGCAUUACGAAAUUUACCUGGUACUGUCGUAGAGAUAAAAGGGAAAUUAUUUGAUACUAGUACUUGUGGCAAACGUUGCAAUGACCGUAGCGAUUGUCAAGAAGGUUUUAUUUGUUCAAAUUGUGUUACAUUUGGGAAUUUAUUUUCUCAAUGUGUAUAACACAAGCGCAUUAUUACUGGUGAAAUAUUCUUAUCGUAUUUCUAAGUUUGUGUAAGAAAAAUAAAUAUGUAACCUUACAAAUUUUCCAUAUAUUGGAAAACUACCUAGGUUACAACUUAUAAAUAUAUGUAUCGGUCUCUUGUAUUCAUCCUAUAUGCAAUUCAUUAUUUAUCGUGA